ACUAACAAUGGUUAACUUAUAUGGGUAAAUAGAUGGUAAUU
rnacentral:guide_RNA from 1 species